rnacentral:rRNA from 1 species
UACGUAGGGUGCAAGCGUUGUCCGGAAUUAUUGGGCGUAAAGAGCUCGUAGGCGGCUUGUCACGUCGGCUGUGAAAAACCCGGGGGCUCAACCCCGGGCCCUGCAGUCGAUACGGGCUAGCUAGAGUUCGGCAGGGGGAGACUGGAAUUCCUGGUGUAGCGGUGAAAAUGCGCAGAUAUCAGGAGGAACACCGGUGGCGAAGGCGGGUCUCUGGGCCGAUACUGACGCUGAGGAGCGAAAGCGUGGGGAGCGAACAGG